GUGUGUGUGUGGGUGGGUGUGUGUGUGUGGGUGUGUGUGUGUGUGUGGGUGCAGUUGUGUGUUUUUGUAUAGAACACGCACACCCUUCUCUAACGCUCUGCGCACCUCUUCCUCAGAGCUCUUUUGCUUCUCAGCACAUUUAUCUUCCAUGGCGGAGAACCUCCACUAGGAUGGUUCGUUCUUUUUCGGUCCUCUGCCUGUCGGAGCUGUUGCCCAGUUGGUCACGUUGCCCAUGUUCCACCCAGUGGUUUCAGUCCAUUUCAGGUGCGCCUGCUGACGUGAUGGAUGGGCCUUUUUGAAACUGCCAGAUCUUUUUGCCAAAUUGUUGCUUCUUUUUUUCAUGCUAAUCAUCCCCAUGAUAGUGCCCGUUCCUUGCCCCCCAACACUUCUUUCAUUUGAAACAAGAAAUGAUCGCCGUCGAGGAACUAAGCUCUUACACUGGCCUCAUGUUUGUUUAUAUCCUUAUUACCUUUUGUAAUUCUCAGUCAGCUUGGUAAAGGAGUUGGCCUUCGCUCCCCUUUGCUAUGUACUUUCUGACUGUGACACAGCCACUCGCUGAUUCCUGAGAGAUGGACAGCUUUGACGGAGCCAUUGCAGGCAAAGCAAGUGGGAUGCCAACUGCUGAGACAAAUACACAGCAGAAGGGACAGGCUCAAAGUGGAAGAAGACAGACUGGGGAAGGGGGUAGCUGAUUUCAACAUUUGUUUGCAAAGACAAACCUUGGGCUGCAAAGACCAGUGAGGCAUUGUACACAGCAGGCCUCUCCAUUACAGCUGGCUUCCUGAAGCCUUGGACAGGUGGCAGACCUCAGCAGAAUCAUUAAAUGCAAAAAGAUUUGAGAUUCAUUGCAGGUAACUGAGUGAAUGUCUUUGAAGCACAAAGGCGAGUUAGUGGCCCAUAUGCUUAACAACCCUGCAAGUUCUGUUUCAUGGCACUUAACAAAAAGGAGUUUUUAAACCCCUGAUCGGUAGUAACCUUCUGGAAUAGAAAUUUCAGGGCUGCAAAUGGGGCCAGUGAUGGGGAGACCUGGUUGGGAGAUCAAGUUGCUGGAAAAAAUAAAAUAAAAAAUUGCAUUUUUUGCAUGGCACAGGACUGAAUCCAAAUCACCAUUCUUUACAAGGCCUCGUGCUUGUGUUGCAUAUGUAUAUGGAUGGGAGUGUAUCACAUAUAGAUGUAGUGGUGUAGAUUUUGAUGUCUUUAUGAUGAAAAAAUAGAAAUCAUUGCUAUUUAUUUGUUUGUUUUUUUCCUGUAAUGAAAUGGAAAGGGGUUGGCUUGUUGCAAAGUGAAUGUCAGUUUUCAUUAAAUGCUGCCAAGGUUAUUUAGUUAAAUGUAGGUUACAGAUCUGCUCCAGAAAUACAAAUACAUACAGACACAAACAGGACAACGAUGUCCAGUAGAUUACGGGUAGUCAUGA